rnacentral:rRNA from 1 species
UACGCAGGGGGCAAGCGUUGUCCGGAAUCAUUGGGCGUAAAGAGCGUGUAGGCGGUUUGGUAGGUCCGCUGUGAAAACUCGAGGCUCAACCUCGAGACGCCGGUGGAAACCAUCAGACUAGAGUCCGGAAGAGGAGAGUGGAAUUCCUGGUGUAGCGGUGAAAUGCGCAGAUAUCAGGAAGAACACCCGUGGCUAAGGCGGCUCUCUAGUACGGUACUGACGCUGAGACGCGAAAGCGUGGGGAGCGAACAGG